rnacentral:rRNA from 1 species
UACGUAGGGGGCUAGCGUUGUCCGGAAUCAUUGGGCGUAAAGCGCGCGUAGGCGGCCCGGUAAGUCCGCUGUGAAAGUCAAAGGCUCAACCUUUGAAUAUCAGCGGAUACUGCCGGGCUAGAGUCCGGAAGAGGCGAGUGGAACUCCUGGUGUAGCGGUGGAAUGCGCAGAUAUCAGGAAGAACACCAACGGCGAAGGCAGCUCGCUGGGACGGAACUGACGCUAAGGCGCGAAAGCGUGGGGAGCGAACAGG